rfam:Puccinia sorghi strain RO10H11247 Scaffold_1690, whole genome shotgun sequence.
UCCGAGUUAGUAUAUCGGCUAGUAUAUCCGCCUUUCAUGCGGGGGGCGCGGAGGAGACGGGUUCGAUUCCCGUACUCGGAA